rnacentral:rRNA from 1 species
AAAUUGAGAGUUUGAUCCUGGCUCAGGAUGAACGCUGGCGGCGUGCCUAAUACAUGCAAGUCGAACGCUUUGUGGUUCAACUGAUUUGAAGAGCUUGCUCAGAUAUGAUGAUGGACAUUGCAAAGAGUGGCGAACGGGUGAGUAACACGUGGGAAACCUACCUCUUAGCAGGGGAUAACAUUUGGAAACAGAUGCUAAUACCGUAUAACAAUAGCAACCGCAUGGUUGCUACUUAAAAGAUGGUUCUGCUAUCACUAAGAGAUGGUCCCGCGGUGCAUUAGUUAGUUGGUGAGGUAAUGGCUCACCAAGAC